GCUGCUGUGGCUCAGUGUAGAGCGCUCCCUCAAUCUUGCCGCUCUGUCAAGGAUUUUGAAGAAGGCGUGGGUUCGAUUCCCACCAGUAGCA